rnacentral:rRNA from 1 species
UGAGCAAUCUGCCCUGGACUCUGGGAUAAGCGUUGGAAACGACGUCUAAUACCGGAUACGAGACGCGAAGGCAUCUUCAGCGUCUGGAAAGAACUUCGGUCCAAGAUGAGCUCGCGGCCUAUCAGGUAGUUGGUGAGGUAACGGCCCACCAAGCCUACGACGGGUAGCCGGCCUGAGAGGGUGACCGGCCACACUGGGACUGAGACACGGCCCAGACUCCUACGGGNGCAGCAG